AUUGAACGCUGGCGGCAGGCCUAACACAUGCAAGUCGAGCGAGCGGCGGACGGGUGAGUACUGUAUGGGGACUGCCCGAUAGAGGGGGAUAACUACUGGAAACAGUGGAUAAUACCGCAUACUAUCGGAUAACCCAUAUGGGAUUAGCUAGUAGGUCAGGUAAUGGCUUACCUAGGCGACGAUCCCUAGCUAGUCUGAGAGGAUGAUCAACCACACGGGGACUGAGACACGGCCCAGACUCCUACGGAGGCAGCAGUGGUGAAUAUUGCACAAUGGGCUCAAGCCUGAUGCAGCCAUGCCGCGUGUAUGAAGAAGGCCCUAGGGUUGUAAAGUACUUUCAGUCGGGAGGCGUUACCUACAGAAGAAGCACCGGCUAACUCCGUGCCAGCAGCCGCGGUAAUUC
rnacentral:rRNA from 1 species